UACCUGCAGCUCAAGUGGUGACCACUAUUAUUGGGCCUAAAACGUUCGUAGCCGGUUUGGUAAAUGCCUGGGUAAAUCGUGUAGCUUAACUAUACGAAUUCCGGGUAGACUGCCAAACUUGAGACCGGGAGAAGCUAGAGGUACUCCUGGGGUAGAGGUGAAAUUCUGUAAUCCUGGGGGGGACCACCAGUGGCGAAGGCGUCUAGCUAGAACGGGUUUGACGGUGAGGAACGAAGCCCUGGGGCGCAAACCGGAUUAGAUACCCGGGUAGUCCAGGGUGUAAACGCUGCUUGCUUGAUGUUAGUUGGGCUCCGAGCCCAAUUAGUGUCGGAGAGAAGUUGUUAAGCAAGCUGCCUGGGAAGUACGAUCGCAAGAUUGAAACUUAAAGGAAUUGGCGGGGGAGCACAGCAACGGGUGGAGCGUGCGGUUU
rnacentral:rRNA from 1 species